GAUGAAGAACGCAGCGAAAUGCGAUAAGUAGUGUGAAUUGCAGAAUUCCGUGAAUCAUCGAAUCUUUGAACGCACAUUGCGCCCCCUGGUAUUCCGGGGGGCAUGCCUGUCCGAGCGUCAUUACAACCCUCAAGCUCAGCUUGGUGUUGGGCCCCGCCGCCCCGGCGGGCCCUAAAGUCAGUGGCGGUGCCGUCCGGCUCCGAGCGUAGUAAUUCUUCUCGCUCUGGAGGCCCGGUCGUGUGCUCGCCAGCAACCCCCAAUUUUUUUCAGGUUGACCUCGGAUCAGGUAGGGAUACCCGCUGAACUUAAGCAUAUCAAUAAGCGGAGGA
rnacentral:misc_RNA from 1 species